AUUGAACGCUGGCGGCAGGCCUAACACAUGCAAGUCGAGCGGAGCGGCGGACGGGUGAGUACUGCCUAGGAAUCUGCCUGGUAGUGGGGGAUACCGUCCGGAAACGGGCGCUAAUACCACAUACUAUCAGAUGAGCCUAGGUCGGAUUGGCUAGUUGGUGGGGGAAAGGCCUACCAAGGCGACGAUCCGUCCCUGGGCUGAGAGGAUGAUCAGUCACACUGGAACUGAGACACGGUCCAGACUCCUACGGGAGGCAGCAGUGGGGAAUAUUGGACAAUGGGCGAAAGCCUGAUCCAGCCAUGCCGCGUGUGUGAAGAAGGUCUUCGGAUUGUAAAGCUCUUUUGGUUGGGAGGCGGUACCUACAGAAUAAGCACCGGCUAACUCCGUGCCAGCAGCCGCGGUAAUAC
rnacentral:rRNA from 1 species